rnacentral:rRNA from 1 species
UACAGAGGUCUCAAGCGUUGUUCGGAUUCAUUGGGCGUAAAGGGCGCGUAGGCGGCGGGGUAAGUCGGGUGUGAAAUCUCAGAGCUCAACUCUGAAACUGCACUCGAUACUGCUCUGCUUGAGGACUGGAGAGGAGACUGGAAUUCACGGUGUAGCAGUGAAAUGCGUAGGUAUCGAGAGGAACACCUGCGGCGAAGGCGGGUUGCUGGGCUGAUACUGACGCUGAGGCGCGAAAGCCAGGGGAGCGAACGGG